rnacentral:rRNA from 1 species
UACAGGGGGUGCAAACGUUGCUCGGAAUUAUUGGGCGUAAAGCGCGCGUAGGCGGCCACUUAAGUCGGAUGUGAAAGCCCCUGGCUCAACUGGGGAAGUGCACCCGAAACUGAAUGGCUUGAGUGCGAAAGAGGGUCGCGGAAUUCCCGGUGUAGAGGUGAAAUGCGUAGAUAUCGGAAGGAACAUCAGUGGCGAAAGCGACUUCCUGGACCAAUACUGACGCUCAUGUGCGAAAGCGUGGGGAGCAAACAGG